AUUGAACGCUGGCGGCAGGCCUAACACAUGCAAGUCGAGCGGAGCGGCGGACGGGUGAGUAAUGCCUAGGAAUCUGCCUGGUAGUGGGGGAUACCGUCCGGAAACGGGCGCUAAUACCGCAUACUAUCAGAUGAGCCUAGGUGGGAUUAGCUAGUUGGUGGGGGAAAGGACUACCAAGGCGACGAUCCGUAACUGGUCUGAGAGGAUGAUCAGUCAAACUGGAACUGAGACACGGUCCAGACGCCUACGGGAGGCAGCAGUGGGGAAUAGUGGACAAGGGGCGAAAGCCUGAUCCAGCCAAGCCGCGUGAGUGAAGAAGGUCUUCGGAUUGUAAAGCACUUUAAGUUGGGAGGCGUUACCAACAGAAUAAGCAACGGCUAACUUCGUGCCAGCAGCCGCGGUAAUUC
rnacentral:rRNA from 1 species